UUGUGAGUCGAUCCUAUGAGUCAACCCCUUGGCAUGAGUCGACCCUAUGAGUCGACCUCUGCUACUUUGCAGGCCAAAAUUACAGAACAGUCAUUUUCUGUUCUGUUCCACAGAGGUCGACCCUAUGAGUCGACCCAUGAGCAUGAGUCAACCCUAUGAGUCAACUCCUGUGACGGAAAAGUUUCACAACGACUAGUUUUUAACCUGUUUCAAUUGUAUUUAAUGCUCAUUUAAUGU
rnacentral:lncRNA from 1 species